rnacentral:rRNA from 1 species
AACGAACGCUGGCGGCGCGCUUAACACAUGCAAGUCGAACGAGAAAGGGUAGCAAUAUCUGAGUACAGUGGCGCACGGGUGAGAAACGCGUAGGUGACCUACCUUAGUGACUGGAAUAACUAGCCGAAAGGUUAGCUAAUACUGGAUAGGGCGCACGGGCUGUGAGGGUUUGUGCGGGAAAGGGUGGCUUUGCAGCAAUGCAGGGCUAUUGCACUGAGAUGGGCCUGCGUCUCAUUAGCUAGUUGGUUGGGUAACGGCCUACCAAGGCGAUGAUGGGUAGGUGGUCUGAGAGGACGAGCAGCCACACUGGAACUGAGACACGGUCCAGACUCCUACGGGAGGCAGCAGUGGGGAAUCUUGCGCAAUGGACGAAAGUCUGACGCAGCGACGCCGCGUGGGUGAAGAAGGCCUUCGGGUUGUAAAGCCCUGUCGAGGGGGAAAAACGUUCAUAUGGAUAAUACCUAUAUGGAGUGAUGGUACCUCUAGAGGAAGCACCGGCUAACUCUGUGCCAGCAGCCGCAGUAA